rnacentral:tRNA from 1 species
GAUUACACCGCAUUGCGGUAUCAACGCGCCCUUAGCUCAGUUGGAUAGAGCAACGACCUUCUAAGUCGUGGGCCGCAGGUUCGAAUCCUGCAGGGCGCGCCAUUACAAUUCAAUCAGUUACGCCUUCUUUAUAUCCUCCAUAAUUUCAGAGUGGGACAUAUUUGGGACAUUAUCACCAAA